GAUGAACGCUGGCGGCGUGCCUAAUACAUGCAAGUCGAGCGAACAGAUGAGGAGCUUGCUCCUCUGGCGUUAGCGGCGGACGGGUGAGUAACACGUGGAUAACCUACCUAUAAGACUGGGAUAACUUCGGGAAACCGGAGCUAAUACCGGAUAAUAUAUUGAACCGCAUGGUUCAAUAGUGAAAGACGGUUUUGCUGUCACUUAUAGAUGGAUCCGCGCCGCAUUAGCUAGUUGGUAAGGUAACGGCUUACCAAGGCAACGAUGCGUAGCCGACCUGAGGGGGUGAUCGGCCACACUGGAACUGAGACACGGUCCAGACUCCUACGGGAGGCAGCAGUAGGGAAUCUUCCGCAAUGGGCGAAAGCCUGACGGAGCAACGCCGCGUGAGUGAUGAAGGUCUUCGGAUCGUAAAACUCUGUUAUUAGGGAAGAACAAAUGUGUAAGUAACUAUGCACGUCUUGACGGUACCUAAUCAGAAAGCCACGGCUAACUACGUG
rnacentral:rRNA from 1 species